CGCGGCGGAAGGAUUCCCUCCGCGUCGAUGUCGGGACCUCGCCACCGCAACGCGGGGUUCUCCCGACGGGAGGGGGAGCGGAGUGAAGGACAGACAUUCCUGAUCAUCCCUUUCAGUCUCAUCACCUCUCUACAGUUAACGUAAAUAGCUGAUGACCAGGAGACUGGAACAUCUUUCUUAUGAGGAAAAGCUGUAGGACCUGGAGCUCUUUAGCUUAGAAAAGAGAAGACUAAAAGGGGAUCUUAUUGAUACUAAUUUGUGCUCCUGAGUUGUUUGACUACUUCUGCGGAUCCCUCCCACUGUCAAAGAGCGCAACAAAGUUCUGUCUACUGCGAGUAAUUCAGGCUGUUGACAGGAAGAUCAUUAAGUGGGAAACACGUGAUGAAAUAUUAGGCUUGUUAAAAGUUUGAAAUGAAGUGAGUUUGUUGAAGAAAAUGAAAGGCAUGAAAUUAAGAAUUUGGUUUGCUUUUUUCUUCCUUGUAGGGUUUCUUUUUUUUUUGGAAGGGAGGUUUGCUUCUGUCUAUUGGCAAACUUUCUAAACCUUUAAUAGUACAAGGAGCAGAUAAGGUCAGUAAAGUUGUGAGAUAAGAGAUUGACUUUAUAAAAUAUACAACUCCAAACCAGGAAUUCUAAGCAUAUGUAAGGGAAAAGCUCUGAAAUACAAGCAUCUUGCAAGAACCUUAUUUGCUGUGUUGAGUAUACUUUCAUACUGCUUACUUUUUGAGGUGUGUUUCUCAGAGAGGCCACUGUAAAAGAGGCACUAGCAGUCUCUUUACAGCUGUCAGCCUCACGGGUAGGAUGCUUCUGUCCAGAGAAUAAGCAAUGAGGUUUUUAAGAUUAUUCUGCUUUUUAAAUUUAAGUAUAGAAUUUAGGCUGUAUAUUACUAUCUGAGGAGUUUAACUCCUUGUUAUUUAGGAAUUCUUCCUUAAAUUGUUACAUUCUUGGAAACUGCUGUGACUGCAAGGUUUGCUCAGAAGGCUAAUCACAUGAUUUAGAUCAAGGGAAAUGGUUAAAAGGGGAUGUUUUAGGGUCAAAGUAGGGGAAAAAAAGAUGGAAGAUCUUCUAGGAAUUUUGUUGUUUUCCUUUUCUUUUUUUUUCCAAAACUGAGCCUAAAGUAGCUUUGUACAGCAUAUUAUGAAAAUGUAUAGUUAAAAGUGGCUUUUAAAAAAAAUAUUGCCAAAUCAGGGGCUACUGGACCACAGCUGUGAGAUAAACGUGCAGUCAGUAGCACCACAGUAACAGAGCUUUGAUACUUAAAGAAAGCUUGUCAGAACUCUGUGUUCCUAGGCUUAUUGUAGGCAAGGCAUGCAAAUAAAAUUAUUUAUUACCAUUACUUUGUGGAGGGCCCUGCAGUCUGCUAGAAUUCAAGCAAGCUUCACCUAAGGUGCAUCAUUUUACUGGUUUUUAUAUUGACCCAGAUAUAGGAAAACUGAAGCCAACUGAUGUACACCAUAAAGAUAUUAACAAAAACCCCUGCCAGACCUGGAACCAAGGGAAACUGUGGUUAAUAUAUUUUCCUCCUCUGAGUAAUAACUGAGUAAUAACAGGGUCUGAGACUUUGCUCUGAGACUGGGAGACAUCAGGAGCAGGGUGGGAUGGGAUUGAGCCAUGAAAGUUAGGUAGAGACACCUGCAGGGGCAAUGCUGAUAGUAGCUAAUAUCCCAGUUGGGAUGUGUGGGGAUUUGUUUUGUGUUCAGUUGUGUUGUGUUGUGUUUUGCUUUCCUAACUCUGGAAGAA